rnacentral:rRNA from 1 species
UACGGAGGGUGCAAACGUUGCUCGGAAUCAUUGGGCGUAAAGCGCACGUAGGCGGCGGCGUAAGCGGGAUGUGAAAGCCCAGGGCUCAACCCUGGAAGUGCAUCCCGAACUGUGUCGCUUGAAUCUCGGAGGGGGACAGAGAAUUCCCGGUGUAGAGGUGAAAUUCGUAGAUAUCGGGAGGAAUACCAGUGGCGAAGGCGCUGUCCUGGACGAAGAUUGACGCUGAGGUGCGAAAGCGUGGGGAGCAAAC